ACAAAUAAACAUAAUAUAAUAAUAAUAAUAAAAUCUUAUUAAUGACGACAAAUAAACAUAAUAUAAUAAUAAUAAAAUUGUAUUAAUAACAAAAAUAAAAUAAAAUAAUAUAAUAAUAGUAAAAAAAAGCUAUAAAAUAAUUCAUAUUAUAUUAAUCUUGUUCUAUACUGUAUAAAAUAAAUUAUAUAUACACAUAAAUCCCUAAACCCUAUUUCUUUCUUCUUUCUUUUCCUACAAAAAAAAAAUAUUCCCUCUCUCUUCUUUCAAUAUGAAGGUACCAACAUCUGUAAACUGGAUAAUGGACAUCAAGAACAGAAGAGAGCGCCGGAGGCAGCCUCUGUUGGCUGACCUGCGCGUCGAUGUUUCACUGGUGUCUUCGAAAAGUGGGUAAAGGAAAGAGGGAAUCAGCAGUGGCAGCGCGAAGCUUCGCCGGUGAGAUUCCGGCCAGAUCUGGGCGGUAGUGGCGCGGGGGAGAGAAAAGGGGAGCGAGGGUUGAUCGACGCGAGGAAGGGGAAGAAAAGACAAUGACAGGAUCUAGGGGUGCUGGCGUGGCGAUUCCGACAAGAAUCAGCCGGAAUAAACGCGAAAAUGGGUUCGUUUUAAUGGGAUGAUGAUUUUCCAGCGACGGGAAGGGAAGAGGGAAAGGGAGUGGUGCGGCGUUCCGGUGAAGGAAGCGGCGCCGGCGAAAUCCGUCUCACCCAUGUAACGAUUUCCGGCGUGUUUCUCCCCGGAGAGAUUCCAACAAAUUGCGGGUAAUGGGUGGUUGGUUUUCUUGACGGGACGAUGGUUUUGGCGAUACAUUUCGCUAGACAGAUCUAUUUUUCUCCCCUGUAUGACGUAUGAUGAUUAGUGUAUGUGCAUAUUUUGUUACUGUGUGUCAAGAUAUAUGAAUGAACUGUGAGGCUAAUGAAUUUUAUAUUUGCAUCACUAAUUAUAGGUACAGGCAUAUAUCAAUGUAUAUGAAUAUAUUGCUAUAUCUAAUUUUUUUUAUUCAAUAUAAUAAACAAAUAAUAUUGCAUAUCAAAUAAUAAGGUCAUUAACACAAACUUAAACAUGUUUUGCUUUAUUAUAAAAAUCAUACAAUAAAUAACAUAAAUUCGAACAAGAACCUGUUUAUGAAAUAAAGCAGAAAAAACUUGAAUAUCGUCACCGAAUUCAAAUUCAAAAACCUGAUUUCAAUUUCACACUUUGUCAGUUUUUUAUCUUUUGAAGUUUUUCUAUCUGGAUUUUUUCUCUAAUGUUUUUUCUGAUAUCUGAUUUUUGAAGGAUGUCAAAAGUACGUUGUUUUUUCGUCCCCUCUUUAACUCGUUGAGACUUUUUAGGGGAAACGGAUGUCAAAAGUACGUUGUUUUUUCGUCCCCUCUUUAACUCGUUGAGACUUUUUGGGGGAAACGGUUACGUUAAAGGGGGAAAUAGUUAGUCAUUAUCAGAUAAAGGUAGGGGGGAAAAAUAAUUUAAAAUUUAAAAAUUCCUCUUAUUAAUUUUUUAAUUAAUUAUUAUAUAUAUAGAAAAUAUCAGUAAUAAUAAAUAAAUAAACUAAUAAUAAUAAUUAAUUAAUUUUAUAUUUAAUAAAGUAUAAUAUUAAUUUAUAAAUAGACAAAAAUAAAUAUAAUAAAAUAAUAUUAAAAUUAUUAUUUAUUUAUUAAAAUUUAUAUAAGAAAACAUAUAUAUUUUAAUUUAUAUUAUUUAAAAUUAAAAUAAAAAUAAAAAUAAUAUAUGGUUAAAUAUUAAUAUAAAUAUAAAUAUUUAAUAUUGAUGGACAAAUUAAAAUUCAGGUAGGAUCAAAAAUUACGUGUCUACACUAUGAAAAAUAAAUCAAAUUCGUUAAAACUAUUUUUUAUUUUUAAACUUCAAUAAGGUAUUUUCUCAAUCAAACUAGCAUCAUUUUAAUCGUUAGUUAAAUGUCCUUCUACUAUAUACUAACAACAUACCCGUUGUUAGUCGCAGACCUAUAAUUUUUGCUAAAAAGUCAAACGAGUUCAACAUCUAAGUACUACAUAUCAUGUACAUAGAAAUAAUUCUAACAGUGUAUAACUAAUAUAAUUUUUCGUCAUUGAUGGAAGAAAAAUAAUCGGACCUCGAGGUUGCUGCCGGUAGCAUUUGGUUUGCUGACCAUGUGUAGUACUCCCUCCGUUUUGUUUUAGUUGGCCUCUUUCCAAAAAUAUUUGUUUCAAUUUAGUUGUCCCUUUGAUGAGAAUUUUAUUGUGUUCUUCCAAUACUAACCUUAACAUUAAAUGAUUAAACAAAAUGUAUUUACUCAAAUUUAUAUUUUCAAAGCAUAAUUAAUACGGAAAAGGUUCAAAAAUACCCCUGAACUAUCUGAAAUAGCUCAAAAAUACCCCUCGUUAGAUUUUUGGUUCAAAAAUGUCCCUCCGUUAAAUAUUUGGCUAAAAAAUAUCCCUCCUUCUAACGAAAUUCCACCAAGAACGCCACACAUUGCACGUGUAUAACCCCUUUUUAAAAUACUUCAGCCCAUAAGCUUAAUAGAUGGAUUAAAAAAAAGGAUAUUAUCGAUCAAAUUCUGAAUUGCGGUUUAAAAUUCCAGCAAAUUCAACCCCAAAGAAAUAGCAUAUCCUUCUUGCUAUCAUAACAGGUGUGAUUAGCGAAAAUGUUGCGUUAUCAAUUCUAUGUUUCUUGAUUUUUCAGCGAAGGAAAAAAGGAAAAAGACCUGUAUACAAGCGUUACAAAAUCAUCGUGGAUCCCUUUGUCAAUUACAUCGGAUUCAACCCAAAGGACCAGCGGCUCAGGCUCAUCAUCAUUAUCGUCCAAUUUGUGCUGACUAGGGUGUGCAUCGGUCGGUUAUAUGUUAUUGGUUCGGUUCAUCGAUUUUCAAUUUUUAAAUAUGUAAAUUCAAUAACUAACCAAUACGAUAUUUUCUUAUCAGUUUUUUAUCACUAACGGUUCGGUUUUCGGUUUAACCAAUAAGAAAAUAC
rnacentral:lncRNA from 1 species